AAUCUAUUGAAAACAUUGUGAAAAUAAAUUCUUUAUUUAGAUUACGUAAAGAACAAUUUAAAUUCUAUUAAAAAUUAUUAUACAAGAAGAUUCAUUCAAAUAGACAGAAGUAUCUUACAAUCAGAUGAUAGAGCCCUCUUAAAAUGAUAGCUAUAACUAUUGUCGAUAAAUUACCUGAUUUAACAAUCGACACGUGUAAUAAUCUCACACUGUUUUGAAAAUUUCGUCGUUGGCAUUUAUCAGAAACUGUCCCAUAAUCGUUAAAAAAAACAGAUGUGUCAACUGGCCAACAGUGAAUGCGCAGAACGUGAAAAACCUGACAUUCACUUCCAUCGAUGACAACUGUAAUUAAAUUACAAAUUAAUAUAAGAAAAAAAGGAACAAAUUGUGAGAUGUAAGGGAUAUAAAGAACGAUUAACGAAUACCAGUACUCACCCACUGAUAGCUAACAAGGCGCAUCCAUGAUGUACGAUGUAAACCAAAUAUGUAUCGCAGGCUACGUAUACUGAAGUCAGUAUUAACGCAACUGCUAUCAUGUGCAUUAAUAUGGGAUAAUAAUAUUUCUCUUCAUCCACAAAAUAAUAAGAUGGAUAGA